UUCGCAAUGCCCGAAAGGGUGACGAAGCGACGCCGCGUGCGGGAAGAAGGCCUUCGGGUUGUAAACCGCUGUCGGGAGUUAAGAAAUGCAAGGAUGUUAAUAGCGUUCUUGCUUGACUAAGGCUCCGGAGGAAGCCACGGCUAACUCUGUGCCAGCAGCCGCGGUAAUACAGAGGCGGCAAGCGUUGUUCGGAAUUAUUGGGCGUAAAGAGCACGUAGGCGGCUAUGUAAGUCGGUUGUGAAAGCCUUCCGCUCAACGGGAGAACAGCAUCCGAUACUGCAUGGCUUGAGUGUGGGAGGGGAGAGUGGAACUUCUGGUGGAGCGGUGAAAUGCGUAGAUAUCAGAAGGAACGCCGGCGGCGAAAGCGGCUCUCUGGCCCAUAACUGACGCUGAGUGUGCGAAAGCUAGGGGAGCAAACGGGAUUAGAUACCCCGGUAGUCCUAGCCGUAAACGAUGGGCACUAAGUAGAGGGGUUUU
rnacentral:rRNA from 1 species